GCUAAAAUGAGACAGGUUAUAACCUGCUUUAAACUUGACAGCUUUCUAAAGCUGCUGGGAAUCCAACUGGUGGUUAUUGAAGAUCCAAAAUGGUUUCACCUCUACCAGAAUGUGAAGGGAAAGGAGAGCCCUUGGGAAAAGCUGUCCUCAGGCAGAGCAUCGCAGGCUCCUGAAUCACCACCUGGCCAGAACCCGGUGUUCAGUUACAUCCCAGCUACAGGAGAGGGCAACAGGCAGGCAGUAAAGACAAGCAAACUGAAACUAACAGAAGUUGUGUGUCUGGCCCCCUGGGUGAUGAAGAUGAGAACAGACACACAGCAUGUCUUGUACCGAGCAUUCUUCUAUGUGCUUCAGGUGUCAAAACUGUUGGGCUUAUGCUGGCACACAAAUAAAGAAGUGACAUAGCAACGGACAAAAAAGGGAUCCCAAGUUGUCUGAUUCAACUCCAAAAGGACAGAGUCACUGCAAGCAGAGAGCAGGUAGAAGCUGUACGCUCC
ensembl:lncRNA novel transcript